rnacentral:lncRNA from 1 species
CCAGUUGGUUUGUCCUUAUAUGAUAUUCCUAUGUAGGAGAGCCCUGACUUUCCAUCAAUCCAAUCCGGGUUGCUCUACUACCCGAGCUCCCUACCCGCCGAAUAUACUCUAGCCGUAGGGCCGGCAUAUCUACUACUGACCAAACUAAUGGAUCUUCAUGAUCCACAUAAAUAUUCUUAAUAUUUAUAAAACUUAUUUUUAGUGACAUGCAAGAAUUUUGAAAUCAAACAAAUUUCAUAAAAACAUUUUUUAAGACAUGUUCAAAGGAUGCGAUUUGUCUGGUAGUGCUCCGGUCAACUCGGAAACACCGUCCGGGUGUCCUACUUGUCCGAAGUCAACUUGUAAUAUUUAAUCCAUAGACAUACUUUAAAACUUUCCUAAACAGAAUUGUAAUAAAGAAAAUAAAGCAAGCAAGACAAACAUGCAUUUCUAUCAACUUUUCUAAGUUACUCACACCUAGUCUCUAAUGUACAGACCAAAUAAAAGAUGCAAGUGUGUGUGUCCAUGUGCGCCAGUGUGUCUCUGUGUGCUCUAGUGCUACUGCUAGCUCCCAAGUAAAAAUUAGUGCCCAUCGCAAGUAGUAGUGUAGUACUCCUCUGGAUCCCAUCCAACGAGCUGUCAAAUAAAAGAAAAAAAAAUAUCAAAAGGUGACAGGACGCAUGAGCUAUUGGAGGCCAGCCCAGCAGAACGAGUGCCCCUGCCCAUUUCCUUCUCACGAGAACGCUCCUCUGUUAGAGUGAUCUGCCAGCCGUGUGGGCCCACCGAGGCCUACAUCUGAUGCGCCCUAAUCGGGAACGUCCAACCCAAUAUGGUUGGCGGACCCCUGUCGCGCUGCGCUAUAUAAAGAGGUGGGGGGCCGGGGCACUCACGACGAGGUUCGCUGCGUUUGCCACCAACCCCACCGACAACCCCUGCCGAUCUAGGUUUCUGCGCAGAAGCGACGGGAAGCUCGCCGUCGCUCCCCGCCGCCGCCGCCGCCGCUCGCCGUCGCUCUUCCUCGCCGUCAUGUCGUCCACGCCGGCAUCUUCGUCCAGCCAAGGCGAAGGUACUCCUCCUCUCUCUCUCUCGGUCCCCAAUACCCGAAUGCCAAGUUGAAUCACAGAACCUAGACUGCCGGCUAGAUCUACACCUAGGUCAUCACAACGAUCUUAACAUUGGUAUCAGAGCCAUCUAGGAUGGUAGAUGUCGUCGGGUAGAAGAGAGAAAGAAAAAGAAAGAAAUUAAAAAAAACGAAAACCCUAACCCUAACAGUACUAACCCGAAAGUUGCCGUCGGCGCGGGGUCACCGGGC